AACAGACGGGGAGUCAUAAAGUUAUUGACGCUGGCUAGAAAUACCUCAUUCGGCAUCAGGUCUUGUUUUCUCGAAUGCAUUUGCUGUUCCUUCCCUUCCCAUCAUUCAGCCCACUUAUACUUUUGGCCAUCACACCAUCCCAUAGCAAUGAGUUCCACUGGAUCAUUGUGUCAAUGCAGAGGGGCCAUCAUUAGCAGGGAUUUUCAGUAGGAGAUGGAACCAUGU